rnacentral:rRNA from 1 species
AUUGAACGCUGGCGGCAGGCCUAACACAUGCAAGUCGAGCGGAUGAAGGGAGCUUGCUCCUGGAUUCAGCGGCGGACGGGUGAGUAAUGCCUAGGAAUCUGCCUGGUAGUGGGGGAUAACGUCCGGAAACGGGCGCUAAUACCGCAUACGUCCUGAGGGAGAAAGUGGGGGAUCUUCGGACCUCACGCUAUCAGAUGAGCCUAGGUCGGAUUAGCUAGUUGGUGGGGUAAAGGCCUACCAAGGCGACGAUCCGUAACUGGUCUGAGAGGAUGAUCAGUCACACUGGAACUGAGACACGGUCCAGACUCCUACGGGAGGCAGCAGUGGGGAAUAUUGGACAUUGGGCGAAAGCCUGAUCCAGCCAUGCCGCGUGUGUGGAGAAGGUCUUCGGAUUGUAAAGCACUUUAAGUUGGGAGGAAGGGCAGUAAGUUAAUACCUUGCUGUUUUGACGUUACCAACAGAAUAAGCACCGGCUAACUUCGUG